rnacentral:rRNA from 1 species
GCGUUAAGCCUCCCUACUUCAGAGUACCGUCGCGAGACUACAUCAUACAGGAAUAGAUGCGAACCCGCACAAACGAUGGAGCGUGUUGUUUAAUUCGAUGGUAAACGAAGAACCUUACCCAGGCUUGACAUCCUUGGAAUCACUUCGAAAGAAGAGAGUGCUUUAUUGAGCCAAGUGACAGGUGUUGCAUGGCCGUCGUCAGCUCGUGUCGUGAGAUGUUUGGUUAAGUCCAUCAACGAGCGCAACCCUUGUGAUUAGUUGAAUUUUUCUAAUCAGACUGCCCUGGCAACAGGGAGGAAGGAGGGGAUGAUGUCAGGUCAGUAUUACCCUUACGUCUGGGGCUACAAACACGCUACAAUGGCCGGUACAAAGGGCAGCCAAAGCGCAAGCUGGAGCAAAUCCCAUCAAAGCCGGUCUCAGUUCGGAUAGCAGGCUGAAACUCGCCUGCUUGAAGUCGGAAUCGCUAGUAACGGUAGGUCAGCUAUACUACCGUGAAUACGUUCCCGGGUCUUGUACACACCGCCCGUCAAACCAUGAAAGUCGCCAAUACCUGACGUGUGAGCUUCGCUUUAUCUAACGGCAUGAGUAAGUUCUGACCAG